UCCUUUUCUUCUUUUUUUUUUCUCUCUUUCUUCUCUCAUCUUCCUUGUCUCUCUUCUGCAAUUUCACCAUUAACACUCAUCUCUUUGUUGUUUUCAUCUCCUUAUUUCUCCAUCUGGAUGGAAAAGAAAAAAAUAUAGUUCUUGAUAGCUGAAAAUAAUUCUUUGAUUGGAAUUUAUUUUCUUGAAGAGACAUUAACUAGCACCUUUUUCUCCCUCAAACUGACAUUGAAAAAUUUUCUUCUUUGGUAGAAUAAGAUUUGAAUAACCAAAAGUCCGAACAACCAGCAAUGGUAUCAAUUACCGUCGAAGGAUUCAGCCCACAAAAAAAACAGGUGCUUCGAUAAACUAAAAAUGAAAUUAAUUUUAUUUUGUUCUUUCUUCUUACCAGUUCUUUCUUUGUGUCUAUUUCUUAUUUUUAUCCCUAAUAUUGUUGUGGAAGAAUGAUCCAGAAUCGUAGCAAUAGAAUUUUGAUUUGGUGAUGAUUUAGUUUUCUAGAUUUUAGUUUAAUCAUGAUUUUAAUUUUCAGAUAUUGGUUAGAUGCUAACUUUAAUUUUCAGAUUUUAAUUAGGUGGUGAAUUUAGAAUUUUAGGGUUAUGAUUUGGUGGUGAUUUAGUUUUUGAUUUCAAUUUAGUGGUGGUUUGAUGAUUUUAGUGGUGGAUAUGAUUGUUAUGGCAGUGAUAUUGGAGGCUAAAGUGGUGGCAAUGUUAACGGAGAAGAAGAAAGAAAGAAAAAAGAAUAAGGAAAAGAGAAACAAAAAGAAAGAAAAGAAAAACAAAAGAUAAAUGAAAUAAAUAAUGAAUAAAAAGAAAAUGAUAUGGCCUCAUGUGAUUGGUGCGUGUGUGUUAGUUUGUGUGAGUCCACCAAACAGUAGAGUAUCUGGUUCUCUACGAGAUUCUGCUGAGAAUGCGAAUAAAGCAGUACGUAAAUAAGACAGAUGAUUUUUAUGUGGAAACAUCUCACACAAGGGGAUCAAAAAACCACGACCUAUACUUGUAGGCUUUAAGCUUCACUAACUUGUAAAAACCUAUUACAAGCCACUUUGCAAUGACUCCAUUACAAAGAAUUUACUCAACUAACUUGUGGUACUCUUACCACAAGCCAUUUUGUGACUUCCUAGUUACAAAGGCUUUUACUAACUUGUGAUUCUCUCACCACAAGCUACUUUGUAACUCUACGAUUACAAAGAUUUUUGCUUAUGACAUACCUAGUCACAACAUAAACUCAAGGAGUUUAUGGAUUUACAAGAGGAUUCCUAAUNNNNNNNNNNNNNNNNNNNNNNNNNAAGCUAUCUUUUAGGAACUGGUCCGUAGUUGCGUUCAACUUUGUUCUUCAAGCUUGUGAGGAUUGACUUCUCUGUUUUUUGCAAGAAGCUUGAAUGAGAAACUGAAACCUUCAAGUGAUGUUUUGUAUAAACUCAUUGUAGGUACAUCUUGAUCACAUCACUUGAAAUGAUGUGAGCACUUUAGUUGGUCAGAGAAUGAGUGGGCGCUGGAGACAGUGCAGUGCGGCAAAAAUAGUGCAGUCAGUCACUUCAUUUCCAGAUGUGACCAAUUGACUUGUACUGUGAUGAGGAAACCACAAGGGUAUCAGGUCCUUGUUUGGAUUCCUAGCUCCUGAAGCUGUAGCAGUUUCCAUUUAGAUGGAAUUAGUUAAGCUUGCAGUAUAGUCCGAGUAGGUCAGGUUCCCUAUCUGGUUCUUAACAGUAAGUUUGUUAGAUCAUCAAAACAUAAGGCAAGAACAUUUAAAACUUAUCAAUUUCCCCUUUUUGAUGAUGACAUACUUAACAAUUAUAGAGUGGAUUUAGAACAGUAAGAACCGGAUUAUGUAACACGAUAACACAAGUUUUCCCUGACUCUAUCAGGAUAACACAGGUUCCCCCUGAAACACAGGCCCCGUGUUAUUUUUCCCCCUUUUGGCAUCAUUAAAAAAGAAAGAAUAACAGUACAAAGAAGUCCAGAUAAGCUAACUCAAGCCACAUAUGUGCACACAAUCAUGAUAGAGAAUAGAAACACAGAAGGAAAGUACUGGCAUAAUAAAAUAAGGAUUGAUAUUAAUAUAACUUUAAUAUGUCUUUGCUUUGAAAAAGCGAAAGGCAACAUUGGACUUAUUAAAACGUGAGGAGUAGUGUUUCAUCCCAACCACAUAAAAAAGAAAACAAAAACAUCCGCCAAAACAUCAAAGAAAAAAUAACAAACAUUUCUAGAAACUGGUCACUGAAGGGGUACUUAAGGGGCACUAGGAGUAAAGGGCUUGGAAGCUGCAGCAAGUGUUUGCAGAAUGAGGUCUAUUCGGGCAUUUCCUGACUUUUGCUCAUUGAGCAGUUCUGCCUUCAGGUUCUCUACUUGCGCCCUGAGAUCAACAUUCUCCUUUGUCAAAUGAGCCACUUCAUCAUUUGACACCGGAACCCCUUGGGCUUGUUGACUUUCCAAGAUAGCAUUCCUGGACUUCAACCGACUAAUUUCCUUAGUUGCACUGUUCUGAGCAUUAAUAAGCUGUGAGGCGGUUGAUACCCCCCAUUCUUUUCCAUGCACUCGCACUCUUCCAAAGUUGUCUGCGAUAAAGUCUGCUUCCUAGUUCCCACCUUGCCUAUCCCCAGUGGGACUUCAAAGAAUCUGAACAUUUGUGUAACCAGGAACCCAUAGGGAAGACCAUGAUUACCAUUUUUGAAAGUGGCAACCUUUUGCAUGUGCUCAAUCAUAAUAGCAGGAAGACUCACAGGAGUAAAACUGUCCAGUUGCUCCAUCAAGAAUAGGUCAGACUUAGAAGUCACUGACCUCCUCUCAGCUCGAGGCAAUAGAACUUUGUUAACCAAUUCGAACAGCAGCUGAUAGACAGGGAGUAGCACUUUCUUAUGGAUCUGGUCCCCUUUCUGGUUUGCAUUGGUUUUUAUAACAGCAUUUCUGAAAUUAAACUGACACACAUCUUUUACACUGGACACACCAGCUAUAGGAACUUUUAGGAUCUCUCCAAGCAACUUUACAUCGAACAUAAUGUCCACCCCAUUGACCAAGGCACAAAUGUGGUCAGUCUCAACUGGAAAGAAGCUAGCAAAGAAGCUUUGUACCUUAUCCUCGUAUACCUUAGGUGCAUCAGUUUGAAAUAGAUGCGCCCAACAUUGAAACUCAACCAUUUCCAGAAUUUGGCGCAUUCCAGCCAUUUCAGAGAUUGUUGGGUCAAAUGUACGACCCAACAGAACAUUUUGAUGCCUCAAGCGUUCAGAGACAAGGCUGACUUCGCUUCUCAUUCUCUUCACAUAACCAGUGUUUUCAAAAGUUUCAAACUUGCGUUUGUCGGACUUCUCUCCACUGAUUUUUCCUUUUCCUUUGGAUUUGAUUAGCACAUCCUUAUAAGACAUCAAAAACUCACUUACUAACUUCUUCAUCUUGGACCUAGAUAUUGACCCCUUCUCUACUAAAGCAGGCUUCGUCUUUUUUGAAGACCGUCUAACAAGUAAACCAGGUUCAUCUAGGGUUUCCUCUUCGACCUCGACUACAGGGAUCGCCUCAUCACUUACAGGUACAUCGUCUUUCACCAACUUUCUCCUUUUCUUCUUACUACUCUUCUUGCUCUUUUGAAGAGCAGAAUUGUAGGCCACCUUAACUUGAAGCCCGGUAGUAGGUCAUUUGGUUUCAGACUCAGGAGUGGACAUAACCCUCCGCUUGCUUAUGAAUGCAUCAAGAGCCACAUUGUCUAGGUCUUCUUCAUCACUUGAUCUUAUUUCAGGUGCUUGAAUUUCCAAGGGCAUAACAUCGAUUGUAGGAACAACAUUGUCAUGGGAAUGAGAGCCCUGACCUGUGUCCUCCGGAGAGGGAUCAGGUUCCUCAUGUGAUGCCCCAGUAGUAUCUGUGAGUGCAUCCCUUUCAAAAGUUACAACGGCCCUUCUUCCCCCACACCUUAUGCCUCUUUUAUCUGAGAGGUGAUCUCAUGCAGUACACCAUUAGCAGACACUACAAACACGGUUACAACAUUUGUCUCUUCCUCGCAUGGUGCUACCACUACCAUGGAAUUGGUAGUAAUGAUGGCAGAACUCAUUGUAACCUCAGGGUUUUGACCUUGUUCUCCACAUGGUUUUUGAUUGGGGGAGCCUCAGACGAUGGGGAGAACGAAGCAACAGUGUCAAGGGAUUCUGAAUUAGCAAGACACUAGGAAAUUGGGUGAGGUGUAACUGUAGCAGCAGGAGUAAUAGUAGAUAAGGAAGGUUCAGUGGGAGCGGAAGGCUCCAGAGAUUGAUUAGUAGUAGUUACAACUGAGGCAGGGAGAUCAGAAGUUGUCUCAGCCAUUAAAAAAGAAAAGACGAUGUUUUUGGGAAAUUCUAAUGGAAGACUUAUGGUUAGGAGACCAGAAAAUAGGGUUUUUAAAAGGAGAGGAUAAUUAUGAAGAAAGAGGAAUAGGCACCGGUUCUGAAACGGCGGUUAGGCAUAGAGAAUUGCAAUGUUUUAGAGGGAGAUGGAACGAUUUGAAAUGAAGAGACGUGAUAGCAGGAUCAGAAAAGUUGAUGACAUGGCAGUUGUGUUUUAUACCCUUUUUAAGACGUGUAUUAAAGGAUGCACAAAACUACUAACCUUUGGUACAAGAACCAGGUUCUUGACCUUUUUAUUUGAAAUAGUCAAUCCUCUUUUAUCAUGCAAGCACUGCAUCUACAACUUCUAUACUCAUCAUGUGUGUUUACCUGCAAUGGUAUUGAAGUGAGUUAGACAUGGCGAGAAAACACUUUUAGCCAGUUAUUUCUUGAAGGUGAAAGCUAGAUAAAGAGGAAUCAUGUUCUCAAUUGGACUUUAAAAGCCCCAACUUCACUCUGUUUCUUUCAAAUUGUUCCCUACUUAGCGCCUUGGUGAAUAUGUUCGCAAUUUGAUCUUUUGUGCUGCAGAACUUCAUACAUAUCAGCCCUUUCUCCACAUUAUCCCUCAGAAAAUGAUGCCACACAUCAAUAUGCUUUGUCCUUUUGUGUUGAACUAGAUUCUUAGCCAUGUUGAGUGCACUGGUGUUGUCACAUAGAAGGGGCACACUCUCAGUGAGUACCCCAAAGUUCUCCAGUUGCUGCUUGAACCAUAAAAGCUGAGCACAUAAGGAUGUUGUGGCUACAUAUUCAGCUUCAGCUAUUAAAAGAGCCACCGAAUUUUGCUUCCUUGUGCCCCAAGAGAUAAGGCAUGAACUUAAGAAGUGAGCCAUUACAGAAGUGCUUUUCCUGUCCACAAUAUAACCUGCAUAAUUUGUUUCAGCAUGCCCAAUCGGAUUAAAACUGUCACCUGACGGAUAAUACAUUACCAGGUCAUGGUUUGAAAACAAUAUCAGGUCUGCUAGCAGUGAGAUAGAAGAGAGACCCAAUAAUGCCUCUAUACAUGGUUUGAAUCACAUGAGAUCCAGUUUCAUCCAUGUCUAGUCGAGUGGCAGUAGCAAUGGGAGUGUCUAUCACCUUUGAUGCUUCCAUGUCAAACCUCUUCAAGAGCUCCCUGAUGUAUUUUUGUUGACAAAUGGAUAUACCCUUUCGGGACUAUUUUAGUUGAAGACCCAAGAAGAAGUUUAGUUCCCCUAUCAUGCUCAUUUCAAAUUCACUUCCCAUGAGUCUUGCAAAUUCUUCACACAGAGAAUCAGUUGUUGCCCCAAAAAUAAUAUCAUCAACAUAGACCUGAACAGUGAGCAGGUUCCUUCCUCGUUUCUUUAAGAAAAGAGUGUUGUCAAUUUUCCCUCUUUUAAAGCCAUUUUCCAAAAGGAACUUUGACAACCUUUCGUACCAAGCUCAAGGAGCCUACUUUAGCCCGUACAGAGCUUUGUCCAGUUUAAACACAUAUUCAGGGUACUCAUAACAUAUAAACCCUGGGAGUUACUUCACAUAGACUUCUUCCUUAAGGAGUCCAUUCAAAUAUUUACUCUUGACAUCCAUUUGGAAUAAGGUGAAUUCUAUAUGAGAUGCAAAAUCUAAUAGAAUUCUAAUAGCUUCCAUGCGAGCUACUGGAGCAAACGUUUCAUCAUAGUCAAUCCCUUCCUCCUGAUUGUAGCCUUGGACCACUAGUCUGGCCUUGUUCCUUGUGGUAAUCCCAUGUUCAUCGAGCUUGUUUCUGAAUACCCACCUGGUUCCUAUAAUUGUUCGAUCUGGGGGUCUAGGUACCAGGUGCCACACAUUAUUUCUCUCAAACUGAUGUAGCUCGUCUUGCAUGGUUGUAAUCCAAUCUACAUCUUUCAAGGCUUCCUUGAUAUUUUUGGGUUCUAUCUAGGAGAGAAAGACUGAGAAAGCAAGUGAAUUUCUGGCCCUUGACCUAGUUUCUACUCCGGAAUCUAGAGGAGUAAUAAUGUUGUCUAUUGGAUGAGAGCUUGGGUGUCUCCAGUUAGACGCUUGAGGUUCAUUCUGAUAGGAAGAGGGUAUGUUUGACUGAUUUUCUUUUGUCCUUCUUUCAGGUGCUAGUGGAGUUCCCUGAACUGCAUCAACCACCCUUUCUUCAGCUUCAGUAGUUGUAAUUGAGGUGUUUGGUUCUAUUGAACAUGAUGCAGCAUUGUCUUCAUUUAGCUCCUUUACUUGACUAAUCAUAUCUGCCUUUUUGUUUGUCAUGUUAAUGACUUCACCAAGGACUAGUGAGGGUUCUCCAUCUUGAUCUUCCUCAGCACUCUUCUCACAUGAUGGAUAAGACUCAUCAAAAAUAACAUGGACACUUUCCUCAACACAUUGAGUCCUCUUAUUAUAUAUCUUGUAAAUCUUACUUUGAGAUCCUUUCUAUUGUUAAGAACAUAGCAUUUGCACCCAAAUGUUCUUAGGUGGGUCAGCUUUGGUUUCCUUCCAUUUAACAAUUCAUAUGGGGUUUUGUUCAGAAAUAUCUAAUCAUGCACUGUUCACCAAGUAGCAGGCAGUGUUGACAGCUUUAGCCCAGAAGUUCUUUGCAAUUCCACUAUCGAUCAGCAUUGUUCUUGCCAUUUCUUCCAGAGUUCUGUUCUUCCUUUCUACUACUCCAUUUUGCUGGGGAGUUUUAGGAGCUGAAAAGUUAUGAGUGAUGCCAUUUUCAUUGUAGAAUUCAUCAAAUUUGACAUUGUCGAAUUCUGUCCCAUGAUCUGAUCUAAUGCAUGCAACUCUAGACUCCAUCUUCACCUAGAUUUUCUUCACAAAGGCCGCAAACACCUCAAUAGUUUCAUCUUUGGUUCUGAGAAACAGAGUCCAUGUGAAUCUGGAGUAGUCAUCUACUAUCACAAAAAUGUAUCUUUUUCCUCUUCAACUUUGCACUCUCAUAGGUCCAUGCAGAUCCAUAUGCAGAAGCUCUUGGGGCUUUGAGGUUCUCACAUCUCUUUUAGACUUAAAAUAGGACUUCACAUGUUUUCCUCUAGUACAAGCAUCACAGAUUUUUGCAUCUUGAAUUGUGACAUAGGCAGACCAUGAACCAGGUCAUUCUGAAUUAGUUUGUUUAGAAGAGAAAAACUUGCAUGGCCCAGUCUUCUGUUCCAUAGUUUAGCAUCAUCAUCAACAACUUUCAAACACCUCAGAUCACCACUCUGUAAGUACUCAAAAUCAGCAACAUAGAUGUUCUUGUAUCUUUUGGCCACAAGUAUUAUUUCACCGGUCACAAGAUCAGUGACUGUACAUAUUUUGGACAAGAAUUCCACCUUGUUUCCUUUGUCACAGAUUUGAGAGACACACAAGAGACUGUACUUAAGUCCAUUGACAUAGUACACAUUUUCAAUAGAAUGAGUGAGUGACUUUCCAACUUUUCCAACUCCAACAAUGUACCCCUUUUUUCCAUUGCCAAAGGAUACUCCCUCCUUGCAGGGCUUUCAGUGCAAGAAAGUCCGUAGUGUUCCCAGUCAUGUGCUUUGAAAACCCACUAUCCAUGAACCAUUGUUGACCACUUCCUUUCAUUGUUCCCUGCACAAAGGAUUAAGAGUUAGUUUUAGGAACCCAAGCAUGUUUAGGUCCCUUGUAGUAGGCAAGAGGAUGAAUCAGAGUUCUCUUAGUCCAUGUAGGUAAUGUAUGUUUCUUGUGAGUGGUACUUGGUCCCUCUUUUGUAGUCACCUUUUCAGCAAAUACUUUGUUUUUCUGAAUCGAUUGAUUCUUGGCCUGGACAUCUUCCUUAAAGUGCCUAGUGUUCCCACAUUGGGUACAAGGCCAGUCAUCAGAGACAGUGACGUACUUGCUAUGAGGGUUGUGAGGAGUUUUCUACCUUUGGGACCCUAUUCCCUUCCUGUUUUCACAAUCAUUAGUAUGCAAGGCAAUGGUAACUUCUGAGGACCAGGUCCACUUUAGGGACUUUUCAAGAUCAUUAUUUACUCUUUCCAGAUCAGUUUGGAGUUGCUCAUUUUUCUUAAUUUCCGCACACAUCCUAGAUCUUAUAGCUUUCACCUCAUUUUCAAGCCUAAUGUGUUCCUCACUAGCUAUCUCAUUUCCCUUUCCAAAAUUUUCAGGUUUUGACUUAGUCCAUGGUUUCACUAUUGUUUCCCUUAGGUCUAUAAUUUUUGCCAAUAGAUCAUCCUUUUCUUUUCUAAGGAUUUCAAUGGUUUUAUUAUGGUCAGUAACUACAACCACUAAGUCGUCUUUAGUUUGUUCAAAUUCUCCUAAUUCUAAGGUCAAGGAAUCCCUAUCCUCCACAAGACUAUGAAAAACAGUAAUAAAUACUUUAACUAAAAACAUGAGUUUUUUGGGAGAAUAGGAUUUCAGAUUUCUCUGAACAUCCCUGAAAGUUACCUUUUUGUUGUCGUUGUCUUCAUCAUCAUCUAAUUGAGCCAUCAAAGCAAAAGUUAAGUCAUAACCAAUCUCCUCGCCUUCAACUGCCAUCAUGGAACUAUCACCAAUAUCAGGUUCAUCUUCAAACUCAGUAGAGGAAUCCCUCCAUGUUGCAAGAGCAUGUCUGAUCAUAUUGUCAGCAGAUCUUUUUCUCUUGAAGUCCUUGAAAGGAACCGGGUUCGUCUUAGCUGUUUUCUUAUGGUAGUUCUGGGAGAAUUCUUCCUUUAAGAGAGGACAGUCUUUCAUGAAAUGUCCAGGCUUUCCACACUUGUAGCAAAGAUCGCGAUUUUUACUCUGUUUGAGCUGUCCCUUUUUAGCAUUUCUCCAUUUCUUCUAACCAUCUUCUGAAAUCUUUUGUUUAAGUAAGCCAUGUCGCUGUAUUCCUCACUUGAAUCAUUGUUAUCAGCUUUAAGUACCAGGUUCUUUUCCUUAUUUGGUUCUCUUCUUGCACUGUCUAUCUUUCUCUUCAACUCAUAAGUCUUCAAGUUUCCGAUCAACUCUUCUAUGGUCAGCUCCUGUAAGUCCUUUGACUUAGUGAUAUCAUUAACUUUGCUUUCCCAAGAACUAGGAAGAAAACUGAGGAUUUUUCUUACUAGCCUGUUUCUGGGGAUAGUUUCACCAAGUUAGUGUAACUCAUUUAUGAUGGAAGUGAAUCUUGUGUGUAUAUCUUGAAUGGAUUCAUCAUCCCUCAUUUUGAAGAGUUCAUACUCGGUAGUGAGCAUAUCAAUCUUAGACUAUUUUACUUGUGUAGUUACCUCAUGCGCUGUUUGCAAAGUUCUCGUAUCUCCUUCGCAGUGUCGCAGGUAGAGAUUCUAUUGUACUCUUCACGUCCUAUUCCACAUACCAGAAUUUUCUUGGCACGAAAAUUCUCCUCCACAACUUUCUUGUCUGCUUCAGUGUACUCGUUGCUGGUUUUUGCCAUUGAAAAUGGAAAUUCCUCUAGUACCUUGGUUGGAACAUAAGGACUAUCGCAUAUGAUAUCACAUAACUCACAAUCCUCAGCCAUGAUAAAAUCGUGCAUUCUUGUUUUCCACUACCUAUAGUAUUGUCCAUUGAACUUGGGUGGUCGGUAUAUAGAUUGACCUUCUUCAAAAUUUGGUAGAGCAGCCAUGAGGAUCCUUCCUAGGUGUUAGCCUGAUAGGAGAAAACCGCUCUAAUACUAAUUGUUAGUUUGUGUAAGUCCACCAAAUAGUAGAGUACUUGGUCCUCUACGAGAUUCUACUGAGAAUGCAAAUAAAACAGUACGUAAAUAAGGGAGAGGAGUUUUACAUGGAAAAAUCCCAUACAAGGGGAUCAAAAAACCGCGACCUAUACCAGUAGGAUUUAAGCCUCACUAACUUGUAAAACCUAUUACAAGCCAAUUUGCAAUGACUCCACUACAAAGAAUUUACUCAACUAACUUGUGGUACUCUUACCACAAGGCACUUUGUGACUUCCUUGUUACAAAGGCUUUUACUAACUUGUGAUGCUCUCACCACAAGCCACUUUAUAACUCUACGAUUACAAAGAUUUUUGCUUAUGACUAUACCUAGUCACAACAUAAACACAAGGAGUUUACGGAUUUGCAAGAGGAUUCCUAAUCAAACGCUUCUAGCUAAGCAGUUUAGGAGAUACAGUAAGUACAAUCACAAAGUUACAACUCCACUAGGACAACAACAAGCUAUCUUUUAGGAACUGGUUCGUAGUUGCGUUUAGCUUUGUUCUUCAAGCUUGUGAGGAUUGUUUUCUCUAUUUUUUGAAAGAAGCUUGAAUGAGAAACUGAAACCUUCAAGUGAUGUUUUGUAUAAACUCAUUGUAGGUACAUCUUGAUCACAUCACUUGAAAUGAUGUGAGCACUUUAGUUGGUCAGAGAAUGGUGGAUGCUAGAGACAGUGCAGUGCAACAGAAACAGUAUUCAGUCACUUCAUUUCCAGCUAUGACCAAUUGACUUGUGCUGUGAUAAGGAAAGCACAAGGGUAUCAUGUCCUUGUUUGGAUUCCUAGCUCCUGAAGCUGUAACAGUUCUUAUUUUGCUGGAAUUCGUUAAGCUUGCAGUAUAGUCCGAGUAGGUCAACUUCCCUAUCUGGUUCUUAACAGUAGGUUUGUUAGAUCAUCAAAACAUAAGGCAAGAACAUUUAAAACUUAUCAAUUUCCCCUUUUUGAUGAUGACAAACUUAACAAUUAUAGAGUGGAUUUAGAACAGUAAGAACCAGAUUAUGUAACAGGAUAACACAUGUUUCCCCUGACUCUAUCAGGAUAACACAGGUUCCCCCUGAAACACAGGCCCCGUGUUAUUUUUCCCCCUUU
rnacentral:lncRNA from 1 species